rnacentral:SRP_RNA from 1 species
GCUGGGCGUGGUGGCUCACGCCUGUAAUCCCAGCACUUUGGGAGGCUGAGGCAGGUGGAUCACCUGAGGUCAGGAGUUUGAGACCAGCCUGGCCAACAUGGUGAAACCCCGUCUCUA